rnacentral:rRNA from 1 species
CAUACCUUAUGUUGCCUCGGCGGAUCAGCCCGCGCCCCGUAAAAAGGGACGGCCCGCCGCAGGAACCCUAAACUCUGUUUUUAGUGGAACUUCUGAGUAUAAAAAACAAAUAAAUCAAAACUUUCAACAACGGAUCUCUUGGUUCUGGCAUCGAUGAAGAACGCAGCAAAAUGCGAUAAGUAAUGUGAAUUGCAGAAUUCAGUGAAUCAUCGAAUCUUUGAACGCACAUUGCGCCCGCCAGUAUUCUGGCGGGCAUGCCUGUUCGAGCGUCAUUUCAACCCUCAAGCCCAGCUUGGUGUUGGGAGCUGCAGUCCUGCUGCACUCCCCAAAUACAAUUGGCGGUCACGUCGAGCUUCCAUAGCGUAGUAAUUUACAACAUCGUUACUGGUAAUUCGUCGCGGCCACGCCGUUAAACCCCAACUUCUGAAUGUUGACCUCGGAUCAGGUAGGAAUACCCGCUGAACUUAAGCAUAUCAU